rnacentral:rRNA from 1 species
UACGGAAGGCAGCAGUGGGGAAUAUUGCACAAUGGGACGAAAGCCUGAUGCAGCUAUGCCGCGUGUAUGAAGAAGGCCUUAGGGUUGUAAAGUACUUUCAUCGGGGAGGAAAAAACAAAACUAAUAAUUUUAUUUCUUGACGUUACCCGAAAAAGAAGCACCGGCUAACUCCGUGCCAGCAGCCGCGGUAAUACGGAGGGUGCUAGCGUUAAUCAGAAUUACUGGGCGUAAAGAGCACGUAGGUGGUUUUUUUAAGUCAGAUGUGAAAUCCCUGGGCUUAACCUAGGAACUGCAUUUUGAAACUGAAAUACUAGAGUAUCGUAGAGGGAGGUAGAAUUCUAGGUGUAGCGGUGAAAUGCGUAGAUAUCUGGAGGAAUACCUGUGGCGAAAGCGGCCUCCUAAACGAAUACUGACACUGAGGUGCGAAAGCGUGGGGAGCGAAACAGGGAUUAGAUACC